rnacentral:rRNA from 1 species
GAUAACCGUGGUAAUUCUAGAGCUAAUACAUGCUGGUAGGCCCGACUUUUGCGGAAGGGCGGUAUUUAUUAGAUAACAAGCCAAUAUUCCUCUGGUCUAUUGUGGUGACUCAUAAUAACUGAUCGAAUCGCAAGGCCUUUGGCCGCGAUAAGUCAUUCAAGUUUCUGCCCCAUCAGCUUUCGAUGGUAGUGUAUUGGACUACCAUGGCGUUUACGGGUAACGGAGGAUUAGGGUUCGAUUCCGGAGAGGGAGCCUGAGAAACGGCUACCACAUCUAAGGAAGGCAGCAGGCGCGUAAAUUGCCCAAUCCUGACUCAGGGAGGUAGUGACAAGAAAUAACGGACCGAGGCCUUCGGGCUUCGGGAUUGGAAUGAGCCGAAUUUACACCCCUUAGCGAAGAUCGAUUGGAGGGCAAGUCUGGUGCCAGCAGCCGCGGUAAUUCCAGCUCCAAUAGCGUAUAUUAAAGUUGUUGCAGUUAAAAAGCUCGUAGUUGGAUUUCUGGGAGGGUGCCGAUGUCCACUUAACGUGUGCGCAGCGGCGCCCUCUCAUCCUUCUGUUAGCGUCUCUUGGCAUUCAUUUGCUGGUGGCGGGCUCAGAUAUUUUACCUUGAGAAAAUUAGAGUGUUUCAGGCAGGCUAGGCCGGAAUACAUUAGCAUGGAAUAAUGGAAUAGGACUACGGUCUCUUUGUUGGUUUGAGGGACUGCAGUAAUGAUUAAUAGGGAUAGUUGGGGGCAUUAGUACUUAACUGUCAGAGGUGGAAUUCUCAGAUUUGUUAAAGACUGACUUAUGCGAAGCAUUUGCCAAGGAUGUUUUCAUUAAUCAAGAACGAAAGUUANGGGAUCAAAGACGAUCAGAUACCGUCCUAGUCUUAACCAUAAACUAUGCC